ensembl:lncRNA
GUCAUUUCCAUGUCCCUCAGGAAACCUGCAUUGCAACUGCAGCUAACCCUUACACCAAGCAGUUGGGUGUGUGCGAAGCUCCUAGCCAAGAACAGAAGCUGCAGUGCUUCUCACAGCCAUGAACUGUCACCACAGUCAUAUAACUUGAUGUGAACACCCCUGCCAUCAUCAUAUUGAUUACUAUAUGUCAUUUUGCAAUGAGAAAAGAGGAUAAAUGCUGGAAAUGCACUUGGUAACUUGUUCGUAUGAGUUCGUCUGGGGGCAUAAAAAAGGAUAAAUGCUGAAAUGUUCUUGGAAUGUUUCAAAAUGAUGUUAAUUUCUACAGAGAGGAAAAGAUAAUGUGCCACUGGACAAGCAUCAGCUAAGGAGAAAUGAGGGUCCAACGAUGAAGAAAAAUGUCUCCUGUGACUAAUGCCAUUCUGUCCUUCUCACACAACCAUUUUUACAAGAGUGGGAAGGGUAAAAUUACUUCAUUUGCUGUUUUGAUGAAAAGCAGUCUUCUGUCCUCAGAGUUCUCAAGCUUACAUUGCAGAAGCCCCUGUCUUCCACACAGGGUGACGGGAAGCUCCAAUUCAUGGAUGGGCCACAGCCUACAUGAUUCUACCGAGCAGAGUCUGCUUGUGACACUUCCAGGCUCCUGAGUCACAAAGUCAGCUGUAGUUUAUCCGAGAGAGUUAUAAUGCUGGAACCCUUAAAUCGGUUAGAUUUAUUGCUGAGAGCUCUUGGAUCCUUGACUAUGCGGAUAAAUAGGUAAUAAAACUUCAGUAGAAAGACUUCAGCCUGUUCACUGCAGAAGGCUAAUGUCACAAUCAUCUGCUCUUCUAAUCUCAACAGCGUUACAUAGAAAUGUACGCACAGAUAAUGGGUAGAUAUACCUUGACUGAGGCAAUUUCUCAGGCAUACGUAGGUUUCUAGUCUGGGCAGAAAACUAGUUGACUUGAAUUUCCCAGUGAAAAACUCCCCUGUCUGCUGCAGACCAACAUCCUGGGGAGAUGAGGACUGUCUGGACAGGUGGCUUAUCACAACGCAGCAUCAACAUCCAGAUGUCAUCAGAUUCAUAAACAGUCUCCAUCUGCAUGGUUUUGCUAAGUGUUGCUGGAAAGACAAGGGAAGAAACCUGCAAAAUGUUAAGCAAUGCAGGCUAAUAAAGCAGCUGCUUCUGGCCACUUGAGAAAGCUGUGAAAGUCCUUUGAACACACGGUAAUUCUGAAAGGCACCAGCUCACACAGUCGGGCAAAGCUGCAUUCAGAUCCCUGCUAUCAAUGUGAAUGGUGAUUGCUCUAUUUCCUCUUGCUGCUUUUAAAAUCCAUCUCCUCAGCUGUGAUAUUUCUAGUCUUGUGAUUAAUGCUAGAAUAUUACAAGAACAUGGAUGCUCUAAUUCCCUGGCACCAAACCAAACAGUAUUGUUGACUUUUCUGAAGUGCAGUCAUUCUAAACUACUGCUUCCCACUGUAUAUAACUCUAUUCAUGCAUAUGUAAUAUUUCCAGAUUUAAAAUAAUUAUUAUCAAUCUCAAAAUAAAUAUAUAAUCUUCU